CAGCAAGACCAGAGCUUCUGGUGUUGGGGACCCAGAGCUUCCGAGUGUCUCCCACAAGGGAGCAGCAGCCUUGUAGAUUUGCUGUGGUAAUUUGCAGACGGUUCCUGGUAGCUACAAGGUCUCUGAGGCGGAGCCUGGGCCUUUGCAUAGGAAAAAAAUCCAGCCUGGGUUCCCCGGCGGUCCAGCAGCACUGGGGCGGGGCCGAGGUUGGCGGCGGCCGGGGAGGAGCCGCGAUGCCGCUCCCAUGGUGAUGCUGCGGGGAAUUUGCUGACCGUCCCUUGCCAGGUGGGGCUGGCUUCGAGCAGGCCAGCGCGGAGGAGGACCGGCGGGCAGUCUCCUCCCAGGUAGGGAGCGUGUCGCCUGGCCUCACAUUCCGGCCGCCUGCCUACCUUGCCUGGCGCUGGGGCCGUGGCGCCGAAGGCGCAGACGUGGUGAGCACGCGGGUGGGAUGCUCCAGAAGCGAUCCGGCUGGAAGAAGGGGCGCGGAAUCCCGGUCCUGGACAGGGAGUCUUGGAGGAGCCUGCUUUGUGGUCUGGAAUUAAGCGGAGACGCAGCCAGGACACUUGGAAGCACCUGGGGAUUGAUUAAGAGGAGGGUGAGCCGGUGACAGCUCAUCUUGGGAGCCCCCUGACCUCACCUGCUGCUGCAGCACACCCGUGGCUGAGUUGGGCCGCCAGGCCUGAUUGAGAGGCUCCCUGGAGAACUGAUUCAAGUAGGCAAAAUCUCUCCCCUAGGCCUUCAAACUUAAUGGACGUGCCUGCCUCCUUUUUCCACCGGCUU
rnacentral:lncRNA from 1 species